GACGAACGCUGGCGGCGUGCUUAACACAUGCAAGUCGAACGGAAAGGCCCUGCUUUUGUGGGGUGCUCGAGUGGCGAACGGGUGAGUAACACGUGAGUAACCUGCCCUUGACUUUGGGAUAACUUCAGGAAACUGGGGCUAAUACCGGAUAGGAGCUCCUGCUGCAUGGUGGGGGUUGGAAAGUUUCGGCGGUUGGGGAUGGACUCGCGGCUUAUCAGCUUGUUGGUGGGGUAGUGGCUUACCAAGGCUUUGACGGGUAGCCGGCCUGAGAGGGUGACCGGCCACAUUGGGACUGAGAUACGGCCCAGACUCCUACGGGAGGCAGCAGUGGGGAAUAUUGCACAAUGGGCGGAAGCCUGAGGCAGCAACGCCGCGUGCGGGAUGACGGCCUUCGGGUGGUAAACCGCUUUCGCCUGUGACGAAGCGUGAGGGACGGGAAUGGGGAAAGAAGCACCGGCUAACUACGU
rnacentral:rRNA from 1 species